AUUCCUACGGGAGGCAGCAGUGGGGAAUCUUCCGCAAUGGGCGCAAGCCUGACGGAGCAACGCCGCGUGAGUGAAGAAGGUCUUCGGAUCGUAAAGCUCUGUUGAUGGGGACGAACGUGCGAAGGGUGAAUAAUCCUUUGCAAUGACGGUACCUAUCGAGGAAGCCACGGCUAACUACGUGCCAGCAGCCGCGGUAAU
rnacentral:rRNA from 1 species